rnacentral:rRNA from 1 species
UGGGGAAUAUUGCACAAUGGGCGCAAGCCUGAUGCAGCCAUGCCGCGUGUAUGAAGAAGGCCUUCGGGUUGUAAAGUACUUUCAGUCGGGAGGAAGGUGGUAAGGUUAAUAACCUUGGCAAUUGACGUUACCGACAGAAGAAGCACCGGCUAACUCCGUGCCAGCAGCCGCGGUAAUACGGAGGGUGCAAGCGUUAUUCGGAAUUACUGGGCGUAAAGCGCACGCAGGCGGUUGAUUGAGUCAGAUGUGAAAUCCCCGGGCUUAACCCGGGAAUUGCAUCUGAUACUGGUAAGCUAGAGUCUUGUAGAGGGGGGUAGAAUUCCAUGUGUAGCGGAGAAAUGCGUAGAGAUGUGGAGGAAUGCCGGUGGCGAAGGCGGCACCCUGAACAAAGACUGACGCUCAGGUGAGAAAGCGUGGGGAGCAAACAGG